rnacentral:misc_RNA from 1 species
UGCAGCAGAUGUGACUUAUUGAU